rnacentral:rRNA from 1 species
AGUCGAACGAUGAACCACUUCGGUGGGGAUUAGUGGCGAACGGGUGAGUAACACGUGGGCAAUCUGCCCUGCACUCUGGGACAAGCCCUGGAAACGGGGUCUAAUACCGGAUAUGAGCCUCCUCCGCAUGGUGGAGGCUGCAAAGCUCCGGCGGUGCAGGAUGAGCCCGCGGCCUAUCAGCUUGUUGGUGAGGUAACGGCUCACCAAGGCGACGACGGGUAGCCGGCCUGAGAGGGCGACCGGCCACACUGGGACUGAGACACGGCCCAGACUCCUACGGGAGGCAGCAGUGGGGAAUAUUGCACAAUGGGCGAAAGCCUGAUGCAGCGACGCCGCGUGAGGGAUGACGGCCUUCGGGUUGUAAACCUCUUUCAGCAGGGAAGAAGCGAAAGUGACGGUACCUGCAGAAGAAGCGCCGGCUAACUACGUGCCAGCAGCCGCGGUAAUACGUAGGGCGCAAGCGUUGUCCGGAAUUAUUGGGCGUAAAGAGCUCGUAGGCGGCUUGUCACGUCGGUUGUGAAAGCCCGGGGCUUAACCCCGGGUCUGCAGUCGAUACGGGCAGGCUAGAGUUCGGUAGGGGAGAUCGGAAUUCCUGGUGUAGCGGUGAAAUGCGCAGAUAUCAGGAGGAACACCGGUGGCGAAGGCGGAUCUCUGGGCCGAUACUGACGCUGAGGAGCGAAAGCGUGGGGAGCGAACAGGAUUAGAUACCCUGGUAGUCCACGCCGUAAACGGUGGGCACUAGGUGUGGGCAACAUUCCACGUUGUCCGUGCCGCAGCUAACGC